UACGUAGGGUGCGAGCGUUGUCCGGAAUCAUUGGGCGUAAAAGCGCGCGUAGGUGGCCCCGAUAAGUCCGCUCUGAAAGUCACAGGCUCAACCUGUGAAAGCGCGUGGAUACUGUCGGGCUAGAGUCCGGAAGAGGCGAGUGGAAUUCCUGGUGUAGCGGUGGAAUGCGCAGAUAUCAGGAGGAACACCAACGGCGAAAGGCAGCUCGCUGGGGACGGUACUGACAACUGAGGCGCGAAAAGCGUGGGGGAGCAAAA
rnacentral:rRNA from 1 species